rnacentral:rRNA from 1 species
AUGACCGCUAGCGGCAGGCUUAACCACAUGCAAGUCGGGGGUAUGGUUCUUCGGAACCAGAGACCGGCGCACGGGUGCGUAACGCGUAUGCAAUCUACCUUUCACAGAGGGAUAGCCCAGAGAAAUUUGGAUUAAUACCUCAUAGUAUAGCUGAACCGCAUGGUUCUACUAUUAAAGUCACAACGGUGAAAGAUGAGCAUGCGUCCCAUUAGUUAGUUGGUAAGGUAACGGCUUACCAAGACUACGAUGGGUAGGGGUCCUGAGAGGGAGAUCCCCCACACUGGUACUGAGACACGGACCAGACUCCUACGGGAGGCAGCAGUGAGGAAUAUUGGUCAAUGGGCGCAAGCCUGAACCAGCCAUGCCGCGUGCAGGAUGAAGCAUCUAUGGUGUGUAAACUGCUUUUAUACGAGAAGAAACAACUCUACGUGUAGAGUCUUGACGGUAUCGUAAGAAUAAGGACCGGCUAACUCCGUGCCAGCAGCCGCGGUAAUACGGAGGGUCCAAGCGUUAUCCGGAAUCAUUGGGUUUAAAGGGUCCGUAGGCGGUCAGAUAAGUCAGUGGUGAAAGCCCAUCGCUCAACGGUGGAACGGCCAUUGAUACUGUCUGACUUGAAUUAUUAGGAAGUAACUAGAAUAUGUAGUGUAGCGGUGAAAUGCUUAGAGAUUACAUGGAAUACCAAUUGCGAAGGCAGGUUACUACUAAUAUAUUGACGCUGAUGGACGAAAGCGUGGGUAGCGAACAGGAUUAGAUACCCUGGUAGUCCACGCCGUAAACGAUGGAUACUAGCUGUUGGGCGCAAGUUCAGUGGCUAAGCGAAAGUGAUAAGUAUCCCACCUGGGGAGUACGAACGCAAGUUUGAAACUCAAAGGAAUUGACGGGGGCCCGCACAAGCGGUGGAGCAUGUGGUUUAAUUCGAUGAUACGCGAGGAACCUUACCAAGGCUUAAAUGUAGAUUGACCGGUUUGGAAACAGACUUUUCGCAAGACAAUUUACAAGGUGCUGCAUGGUUGUCGUCAGCUCGUGCCGUGAGGUGUCAGGUUAAGUCCUAUAACGAGCGCAACCCCUGUUGUUAGUUGCCAGCGAGUCAAGUCGGGAACUCUAACAAGACUGCCAGUGUAAACUGUGAGGAAGGUGGGGAUGACGUCAAAUCAUCACGGCCCUUACGCCUUGGGCUACACACGUGCUACAAUGGACGGUACAGAGAGCAGCCACUGGGCGACCAGGUGCGAAUCUACAAAACCGUUCUCAGUUCGGAUCGGAGUCUUGCAACUCGACUCCGAAGCUGGAAUCGCUAGUAAUCGGAUAUCACCAUGAUCCGGUGAAUACGUCCCGGCCUUG